CGUCUAUAUACGUAUAGCAUAUCAAUAAGCGGAGGAAAAGAAACUAACUAGGAUUCCCUCAGUAACGGCGAGUGAAGCGGGAAGAGCUCAAAUUUGAAAUCUUCAAGGUUUACCUUGACGAAUUGUAGUUUAAAGAAGUGUUUUCUGUUGGAGUUUUGGUAAAAGUUCUUUGGAAUAGGACAUCAUAGAGGGUGAGAAUCCCGUAUUUGACCAUUAUUUCCAACUUUGUGAUACACUUUCAAAGAGUCGGAUUGUUUGGGAAUGCAGUCCAAAAUGGGUGGUAAAUUUCAUCUAAAGCUAAAUACUGGCGAGAGACCGAUAGCGAACAAGUACCGUGAGGGAAAGAUGAAAAGAACUUUGAAAAGAGAGUUAAACAGUACGUGAAAUUGUCAAAAGGGAAGCGUUUGACACCAGUGUUGUUUUCUCGAAAAUCAAUUAAAAAUGACUGGAUUUUGUGUUGUAUUGACUUUAUCAGCUUUCUGCACUUUUUUCCUAGUCUUUUUUAAUGCACUUUUCGUUUAACAAGUCAACAUCAAUUUCUUUUGUUGUAAAAGGGUCAUUGGAAGGUGGCUUUCUUUUCGGAGAAAGUGUUUAUAGCCUUUGACUUCUGCAAUCGGAGAGAUUGAGGUCUGCAGCGUAGAUCCUUCGGGGUUAGAUGCAUUUGUGCUAAGUUAUAGCCUUUCAUAGACAACUUGUGGACUAUGAUCAGUCAUGUAGCUUACUCGCUUAUGUUAUUUUACCUACGCUUAGGAUGUUGACGAUCAGCUGAGCGCG
rnacentral:rRNA from 1 species